UACGAAGGGUCCAAGCGUUAAUCGGAAUCACUGGGCUUAAAGGGUGCGCAGGCGGACAUGCAAGUGCCUUGUGAAAUCCCACCGCUCAACGGUGGAAUUGCUCGGCAGACUGCGUGUCUUGAACCCGACAGGGGCUGUCGGAACUGUAGGUGGAGCGGUGAAAUGCGUAGAUAUCUACAGGAACGCCAAAGGCGAAGGCAGGCAGCUGGGUCGGUGUUGACGCUCAGGCACGAAAGCGUGGGGAGCGAACGGG
rnacentral:misc_RNA from 1 species